GCAAGUCGAGCGGUAACAGAUCCAGCUUGCUGGAUGCUGACGAGCGGCGACGGGUGAGUAACGCGUAGGAAUCUACCCAGUAGCGGGGGAUAGCUCGGGGAAACCAGGAUUAAUGCCGCAUACGCCCUAUGGGGGAAAGCAGGGGAUCUUCGGACCUUGAACUAUGGGAUGAGCCUGCGUCGGAUCAGCUAGUUGGUGGGGUAAAGGCCUACCAAGGCGACGAUCCGUAGCUGGUCUGAGAGGAUGAUC
rnacentral:rRNA from 1 species